GUCUUACCCCCAGGGCUUGACUUGAGGAAGAGGAAGACAACAAAAUCUCCAGAUGGCUGCCACUGUCUCCAAUUAAAUUCUCUGUUCCAAGUCUCUCCCCAUUACACAACAUUGGACAUGGUCACCAAAAAACCCUUCCUACACUUCCACUUUUAAAAUGUCCUUCCCUAUGUGGGUUGAAGUUGAAGGCCUAGGAUUUAGACUUCUGACAUCGUCUCCGUAAGUAUUCCUCCACGUAAACGCAUGGGGUUCAAGGGAGAAGACUCUAUCC
rnacentral:lncRNA from 1 species